GUUCUGUGGCUUUGAUAAGCCCGACACCGCGCGUCCCGAUAAUCUGCACGACGGAACUGGUUAUCGAGUGGCUCAGUUAACCCUGGCUUCUUCUAUCCGGGCUACGAGCGCGUUCACGUGAAAGAGGUGGAGUUAUUGGUAUUUCCAAGGCAACAAUACAGGAAUGACUGCGGCAUCUUCAUGUUGAUGGACAAAGUGGAGACCAGGAUUUCACAUGACUGCAAAAAGGCAGCAGAAUGGGUUGAGGCAAACCAUCAGCUGUUAACCACCAGGGUGAAGUAGCCCAGUGAACUGAAUAUGGGGGAAACGGAAUUGGCUCAGGCUGAGCAGCAGUAUGGAAGCUUUGGAUGGAGGAAAGCAGUGAGGGCCUGAAUGAAGACCAGAGAGAGUUCAUCCUGGGAUUCUAGAACGCAGAAUGCCUCUGGAAAUCUGCAAAGAAAUUAUUGAUGGCCGACAGUAUUUGGCCAACUGUGAAUGCCAAAUGGACAAUCUGUAUUUUAAAUAAAAGAAAACAGAAUUUUUGAUAA